GAUGAACGCUGGCGGCGUGCCUAAUACAUGCAAGUCGAGCGAACAGACGAGGAGCUUGCUCCUCUGACGUUAGCGGCGGACGGGUGAGUAACACGUGGAUAACCUACCUAUAAGACUGGGAUAACUUCGGGAAACCGGAGCUAAUACCGGAUAAUAUAUUGAACCGCAUGGUUCAAUAGUGAAAGACGGUUUUGCUGUCACUUAUAGAUGGAUCCGCGCCGCAUUAGCUAGUUGGUAAGGUAACGGCUUACCAAGGCAACGAUGCGUAGCCGACCUGAGAGGGUGAUCGGCCACACUGGAACUGAGACACGGUCCAGACUCCUACGGGAGGCAGCAGUAGGGAAUCUUCCGCAAUGGGCGAAAGCCGGACGGAGCAACGCCGCGUGAGUGAUGAAGGUCUUGGGAUCGUAAAACUCUGUUAUUAGGGAAGAACAAAUGUGUAAGUAACUAUGCACGUCUUGACGGUACCUAAUCAGAAAGCCACGGCUAACUACG
rnacentral:rRNA from 1 species